rnacentral:misc_RNA from 1 species
GGAGUUUCUUCAGCGCCGCACUGAGCUUCGUCUUUGUUUCUAUUGGUGCCCCCCCCCCCGCCCGCCGUUGUGCUUCCCUCGUCCGCGUGCGCCAGAGCUACCAGAGCGGUAAGGUAGAUAAAAAAAGAACAGAAGAAAAAAAAGCGCGCACGAGAGGCAAGCACGCAUACGCACACACAUCGCAAAACAACAAGAAAAAGCAAAUCAGGGUGGCACAAACCUCUAUUCUGCGCACCUCCUCCGCGCCUUUCUUCUCGAUUUUUUUUUUGCGGCUUUUGCACCGCACCGCGGCCGCCUCUCAGGCACUGCUGCCGUUCUUCUGUUGUUGUGUUUUGUUUUGCCUCUUCACAGCUCACUCACUUUACUUCGCGUGUGCGUGCGUGCGUGCGAAACCGAGCAGCAUCUCUAUCUCGUCGUUGCUGUUGUGUGUGCGUGUGUGAGCAACAACACGAGAAGAGACUCUCACAAGCGCGUACACGACACAGUAGCCCCCCUUCUCCCUCCCUCUCCCUCUCCCUCUCCCUCUCCCUCUCACCCUACUCCCUCUUCUGUUUUUUUUUCUUCUUGUAUUUCUUCCGCCCUGUUUUGGUUCUACAUCUCCUUCGCUCGUUUCUUUCAACGCGUAUACGCACCCGCACAUACACUUUUGUCUGAUUCGUGCUCGCGCUGCGUGCACUGACGCAAUCUUUCGCCCACAGAACCCCUCUCCUCCUCAUUCCAGCGCAAUUCAGCAUAGGCUCAUUCCGUCAUCGCUGUCCCCAACAAGAAAAUGUCGUUCCGAAUCGAGAAGCAGCCGGCGAGGAACUUCGCCUUCGCCACCCCCGGCGAGUCCUAUCUCAUUCUUGCGUCGAGCGCCUCUCUGCGCAAGCACCUCACGGACAGCUACUGGUGCGAGGCGAUGGAGCAGGUGUGCGCUGGCAAGCUCGAGGGCAUCGCGGUACGCUACACUGGCGAGAACCUUGUAAUGGUUCAGUUCUGCCCCACCAACCUCUCCCCCGCCGGCUACCGUUAUCCCCUCUUUAUGUCCAUCCCGAUCGAGUUUCUGGUGCCGCUGGCGGAGAGCACCUUCAAUAUCCCGCCGCCAUCUGAUCUGCACGGCAGCUUUGGCACGGCAACAACAAGUAGCUUCCACUCCAGAUCCAGUAGCGAAGGCCGCUCCACGUCAAACGGAGCGACAAUGCCGAGGUUGUGUGUGGUGUGCGGUCGGUUCAACGUUCCCGGCAUGAUUCACCGCUUACACGGUUGGAAAUGUAAGGAGUGCAAGGGGACGAAGUCCGAUAAUCGUCUGCGGCAGGAGGCGCAGAAGCUGCGGAAGCGCAUGAAGGCACACGCAUAGCGGGUGCCGCUUUUGUAAUGUUGUCUACUUGAAUCCACACCAUCUUGCUGCUCGCCUCCUCUGCUCCGCACGCUGCUCCCCCGCCUCGCGCUCUCUGUCUAUAUCUCCCCAUCUUUUUUUUUUUGUGAAGCAUGCCGCCUUUGGUGGUUUUGUUGCCACUUUAACAACCCACUUGCCGUUCCAGAAUGCUUAAUUGCGUAUGCACCGGUGUGUGUUGGGAGCGUGUGUACACGCACUGUUUUGCCCCUGCCAGUCCACUCCUGACGCACGUUGAUGUCUUUGCUGGCGCGUGGUUGAAUGCGCUAGUUCAUGUUCCUUUUUCCGCGUUUUUUUUUCCGCUCGCCCUCUCGCUCAUUCCGUGUGUGCCUCGAGGGUGCUCAGUCGCGCAUAUGCGGUUGAAGAUGUGUUCUCUCAACGCGCGUUCAUGUCUGUCUGCGUUGGCGAACAAAGAGCGUAUGAUGGUGGCGCGCGCGCUUCUUUGCGGAGCGCUUCGUUGUUUGUGUUUUUUUUUGGUGUCUGGGGCGUUGGGUUGAUGAUUAAGCGUUUCACUGUACGGUAUACGCCGCCGGCUCGAGGAUUGUUCUACGCGUGCUUGUGCUUUAGUGCACACCCACAACCUAGGCCCUCACGCUCGUGUGAGUGCGUGAGGCAACAACAAC